UUGAGGGAGAAGCAGAGGAAGAAGGAAGAGGCAGAUAGAACUGGAAUCAGUGAUGAUGUCAGCUGAGCGUCUGAUGCAACCCUUACUGAAACCAACCCUACGUCUACUCUAUCUUUUAUUUAGGGCAUUGAGUCAGAAGAACCUUCUACAAUAAGAAUUAAGUGACUCCUAGAAGAUUCAUGGAUCAACUACAGAGGAUCUAGUCCUUGAGGGUGACAGGACCAUCAGCUUGUAAGAGAGCACAAUUGCGAACUACUGACUGGUUAAAUAUUAGAAGAAGGGACCAACAGAUAUGGAGAAGGAAACAGUUUCUGAUAGUUCCUCCUGACACUCUAUGUGACAUGAGUGGCUGUUGGAUUUACUUCAUUCAACAAAGAAACAGGAGACUAAAAGAUCAGAUCUCUUUGCUGCUGUCAGAAUAGUCAGAUGGAGAGUUGAGCAGACCUAAUACUGCAUGCCUUAUACUUGAUGACUUCCUGAAGCUGGAAAUUGGCUG